rnacentral:rRNA from 1 species
UAGGGAAUCUUCGGCAAUGGGGGCAACCCUGACCGAGCAACGCCGCGUGAGUGAAGAAGGUUUUCGGAUCGUAAAGCUCUGUUGUAAGUCAAGAACGAGUGUGAGAGUGGAAAGUUCACACUGUGACGGUAGCUUACCAGAAAGGGACGGCUAACUACGUGCCAGCAGCCGCGGUAAUACGUAGGUCCCGAGCGUUGUCCGGAUUUAUUGGGCGUAAAGCGAGCGCAGGCGGUUUGAUAAGUCUGAAGUUAAAGGCUGUGGCUCAACCAUAGUUCGCUUUGGAAACUGUCAAACUUGAGUGCAGAAGGGGAGAGUGGAAUUCCAUGUGUAGCGGUGAAAUGCGUAGAUAUAUGGAGGAACACCGGUGGCGAAAGCGGCUCUCUGGUCUGUAACUGACGCUGAGGCUCGAAAGCGUGGGGAGCAAACAGGAUUAGAUACCCUGGUAGUCCACGCCGUAAACGAUGAGUGCUAGGUGUUGGGUCCUUUCCGGGACUCAGUGCCGAAGCUAACGCAUUAAGCACUCCGCCUGGGGAGUACGACCGCAAGGUUG